rnacentral:rRNA from 1 species
UGAGGAAUAUUGGUCAAUGGACGCAAGUCUGAACCAGCCAAGUAGCGUGCAGGAUGACGGCCCUAUGGGUUGUAAACUGCUUUUAUAUGGGGAUAAAGUGGGGAACGUGUUCCCUUUUGCAGGUACCAUAUGAAUAAGGACCGGCUAAUUCCGUGCCAGCAGCCGCGGUAAUACGGAAGGUUCGGGCGUUAUCCGGAUUUAUUGGGUUUAAAGGGAGCGUAGGCCGUUUGGUAAGCGUGUUGUGAAAUGUAGGAGCUCAACUUCUAGAUUGCAGCGCGAACUGUCAGACUUGAGUGCGCACAACGUAGGCGGAAUUCAUGGUGUAGCGGUGAAAUACUUAGAUAUCAUGAAGAACGCCGAUUGCGAAGGCAGCUUACGGGAGCGCAACUGACGCUGAAGCUCGAAGGUGCGGGUAUCGAACAGG